CCUUGCAGCUUGUAGUUUCUCCCUCAUGCGUUCUCUCAUGGAAAAUUCUGCAAAGCCUGUUCUGGAAGCUGAAGGAAUUGGAGGUUCUAUGGUUUUCAGCCACAAAGGGCGGGCACAGGUAACCACAGCCACCCUCUGCCUCUGCAGGAGACCCUCCAACAGUAGCAGGUAGGUCUGGUUCAGUUUCCUAUGGGGUCACUGCUCCUUCCCCUGGGUCCCAAAGUGCACACUACUUUAUGUGUGCCCUCCAAGAGUGGAGUCUCUGUUUCUCCCGGUGCUGUUGAAGUCCUGAAAUCAAAUCCCACUAGCCUUCAAAGUCUGAUUCUCUGGGAAUUCCUCCUCCUGUUGCUGGACCCCGAGGUUGGGCAGCCUAAUGUGGGGCUCAGAACCUUCACUCCAGUGGGUGGACUUCUGUGGUAUAAUUGUGCUCCACUUUGUGAGUCACCCACCCAGCAGUUAUUGG